ACCCUGCUAUGUGCCAGGCGUGCUGA
rnacentral:piRNA from 1 species